CCUACGGGAGGCAGCAGUGGGGAAUAUUGCACAAUGGCGGAAACCCUGAUGCAGCGAAGCCGCGUGAGUGAAGACGGAAUUAGUUAUGUAAAGCUCCAUCAGCAGGGAAGAAAAUGACGGUACCUGAGUAAGAAGCCGCGGCUAACUACGUGCCAGCAGCCGCGGUAAUACGUAGGGGGCAAGCGUUAUCCGGAUUUACUGGGUGUAAAGGGAGCGUAGUCGGCAGUGCAAGUCUGGAGUGAAAGGCGGGGGCGCAACCCCCGGACUGCUCUGGUAACUGUACGGCUGGAGUGCAGGAGAGGUAAGUGGAAUUCCUGGUGUAGCGGUGAAAUGCGUAGAUAUUAGGAGGAACACCAGUGGCGAAGGCAGCUUACUGGACUGUAACUGACGUUGAGGCUCGAAAGCGUGGGGAGCGAACAGGAUUAGAUACCCGAGUAGUC
rnacentral:rRNA from 1 species